rnacentral:rRNA from 1 species
AACGAACGCUGGCGGCAUGCCUAACACAUGCAAGUCGAACGAGACCUUCGGGUCUAGUGGCGCACGGGUGCGUAACGCGUGGGAACCUGCCCUUAGGUUCGGAAUAACUCCCCGAAAGGGGUGCUAAUACCGGAUAAUGUCUUCGGACCAAAGAUUUAUCGCCUUUGGAUGGGCCCGCGUUGGAUUAGCUAGUUGGUAGGGUAAAAGCCUACCAAGGCGACGAUCCAUAGCUGGUCUGAGAGGAUGAUCAGCCACACUGGGACUGAGACACGGCCCAGACUCCUACGGGAGGCAGCAGUGGGGAAUAUUGCACAAUGGGCGAAAGCCUGAUCCAGCAAUGCCGCGUGAGUGAUGAAGGCCUUAGGGUUGUAAAGCUCUUUUACCCGGGAUGAUAAUGACAGUACCGGGAGAAUAAGCUCCGGCUAACUCCGUG